rnacentral:rRNA from 1 species
GACGAGGGGUCCAAGCGUUGUUCGGAAUUAUUGGGCGUAAAGAGCUCGUAGGCGGUUUGUCGCGUCUGCUGUGAAAACUCGAGGCUCAACCUCGGGCUUGCAGUGGGUACGGGCAGACUAGAGUGCGGUAGGGGUGACUGGAAUUCCUGGUGUAGCGGUGGAAUGCGCAGAUAUCAGGAGGAACACCGAUGGCGAAGGCAGGUCACUGGGCCGCAACUGACGCUGAGGAGCGAAAGCAUGGGGAGCGAACAGG